GACGAACGCUGGCGGCGUGCCUAAUACAUGCAAGUUGAGCGAUGAAGAUUGGUGCUUGCACCAAUUUGAAGAGCAGCGAACGGGUGAGUAACGCGUGGGGAAUCUGCCUUUGAGCGGGGGACAACAUUUGGAAACGAAUGCUAAUACCGCAUAAUAACUUUAAACAUAAGUUUUAAGUUUGAAAGAUGCAAUUGCAUCACCCAAAGAUGAUCCCGCGUUGUAUUAGCUAGUUGGUGAGGUAAAGGCUCACCUAGGCGAUGAUACAUAGCCGACCUGAGAGGGUGAUCGGCCACAUUGGGACUGAGACACGGCCCAAACUCCUACGGGAAGCAGCAGUAGGGAAUCUUCGGCAAUGGACGAAAGUCUGACCGAGCAACGCCGCGUGAGGGAAGAAGGUUUUCGGAUCGUAAAACUCUGUUGGUAGAGAAGAACGAUGGUGAGAGUGGAAAGCUCAUCAAGUGACGGUAACUACCCAGAAAGGGACGGCUAACUACGUG
rnacentral:rRNA from 1 species